GAGUUUGAUCGUGGCUCAGAUUGAACGCUGGCGGCAGGCCUAACACAUGCAAGUCGAGCGGCAGCGGAAGGAAGCUUGCUUCCUUGCCGGCGAGCGGCGGACGGGUGAGUAAGGUAUGGGGAUCUGGCCGAAGGCGGGGGAUAACCACUGGAAACGGUGGCUAAUACCGCAUAAUCUCUAAGGAGCAAAGUGGGGGACCGUUCUGGCCUCACACCUGCGGAUGAACCCAUAUGAGAUUAGCUAGUAGGUGGGGUAAUGGCUCACCUAGGCGACGAUCUCUAGCUGGUCUGAGAGGAUGAUCAGCCACACUGGGACUGAGACACGGCCCAGACUCCUACGGGAGGCAGCAGUGGGGAAUAUUGCACAAUGGGCGCAAGCCUGAUGCAGCCAUGCCGCGUGUAUGAAGAAGGCCUCGGUUGU
rnacentral:rRNA from 1 species